rnacentral:rRNA from 1 species
AUUGAACGCUGGCGGCAGGCCUAACACAUGCAAGUCGAAUGGUAACAGGAAACAGCUUGCUGUUUCGCUGACGAGUGGCGGACGGGUGAGUAAUGUCUGGGAAACUGCCUGAUGGAGGGGGAUAACUACUGGAAACGGUAGCUAAUACCGCAUAACGUCGCAAGACCAAAGAGGGGGACCUUCGGGCCUCUUGCCAUCAGAUGUGCCCAGAUGGGAUUAGCUAGGAGGUGGGGUAACGGCUCACCUAGGCGACGAUCCCUAGCUGGUCUGAGAGGAAGACCAGCCACACUGGAACGGAGACACGGUCCAGACUCCUACGGGAGGCAGCAGUGGGGAAUAUUGCGCAAUGGGCGAAAGCCUGAUGCAGCCAUGCCGCGUGUAUGAAGAAGGCCUUCGGGUUGUAAAGUACUUUCAGCGGGGAGGAAGGGAGUAAAGUUAAUACCUUUGCUCAUUGACGUUACCCGAAGAAGAAGCACCGGCUAACUACGUG